CUUUCCCAGUCCUGCUUCCCAGUGCCUCGGGCCAGGGAAUCCUGGCCUCCGCCUGCGGAGCCGGCGGAACCCGCUUCCCGCCUCCACGGGGCAGCGCCAGCGGCCUGGUCCUUUCACCGGCAGCUCCGUGCCGACGCUCUCACCGCUCUUCCUAUCGCCGGGAGUGGCGGGCCGACCAGGGGGCGGCCGGGCUACCGUCCGCCAUUCCCGUGUCUCUGCGCCCGCGGGGGCCGCCCGAGCCGGCCACCAUGCCGCUGGGCCUGAAGCCCACCUGCAGCGUAUGCAAGACCACGUCGUCCUCCAUGUGGAAGAAGGGAGCGCAGGGGGAGAUCCUCUGCCAUCAUUGCACUGGCCGGGGCGGCGCGGGCAGCGGGGGCGCAGGCUCGGGGGCGGCUGGAGGGACUGGGGGCAGCGGCGGCGGCGGCUUCGGCGCGGCGACCUUCGCCAGCACCUCCGCCACCCCUCCGCAGAGCAACGGGGGCGGGGGCGGCAAGCAGAGUAAGCAGGAAAUUCACAGGAGGUCUGCUCGGCUCAGAAACACUAAAUACAAAUCUGCUCCGGCUGCUGAAAAGAAAGUCUCCACCAAAGGAAAAGGGAGAAGACAUAUAUUUAAAUUGAAAAAUCCCAUCAAAGCUCCUGAGUCAGUUUCCACUAUAAUCACUGCAGAAUCAAUCUUCUACAAGGGAGUAUAUUACCAAAUUGGUGAUGUUGUUUCUGUGAUUGAUGAACAAGAUGGAAAGCCCUACUAUGCUCAAAUCAGAGGUUUUAUCCAGGACCAGUAUUGCGAGAAGAGUGCAGCACUGACGUGGCUCAUUCCUACCCUCUCUAGCCCCAGAGACCAAUUUGAUCCCGCCUCCUAUAUCAUAGACUGCCUGCGCUGCUGACUUAAGGCCCCAACACCAAACACAGAAGCAACAGCCUUACACAGAGUGUUCAGCAAGCUCCAACAAUUGUGUAAGCAGCCCAAGCUGACAGAGAUAGAAACAACACAAGGACCCAUCAGCAGACGAAUGGAUGAUCAAAACGUGAACUGUAUAAUGAUGACUGCACAAGAUACCAAAUCAGAAGAGGUUCCAUUUCCAAGUUCUGAUUCAUAAGAGCUUCCAAAGUAGAGCCGGUACAUAUUGAAUUUUGAUUCAUCUGGAAGGAUCUCGGACAUCUCUAAAGAAACAAGGGACUGAUCUAAGCCACAUUCUCCAUCUCCAGCUGAAUCGUCAGAGCCACUGCUAUGGUUAAGAAAGACCAUUGAAGACAGACUUAGGUCACUAUCAGAGCUGGAACUUCCAUCCUAAAAUACACAAAAGGACAACCAGUUUAAAGAUGUAAACAAUUUUAGUCUCAGAAAUAAAUAAUAACAUAGAUAGCAUUCUAUUAGAGCAAUACAAGAAACUUAGAAGCAUUUUUCAAAGAGCUCAUUAAUUCUCUAACGGUUUUGAGGCACAUGGUAAAAAUUUAACUAUUAAAAUUAUAAAGACAAGAUAGAAUGUGUAGAUAAUUUACCAACCAUCCCCCAAGAAAGUCUGUAAUGAAGCUAAGACUCAGACCUCUGGGCUUUAUUUUUAUGUCUCUGACUUUCCAUUCAUACUUUUCUACUCCAAAAUGAUGAAUCAACCAUGUUAUAGAGUGCUUUCUCAUUAUAGAGAGCUCUACAAAUACACACCUUUCUGGUAGUAAAGGGAGAGGGAAGAACUUCAAUGGCUUGCCAAAAUAGCAAAAACCUAGGGAGUUUCUGAUUUAGAAACUGUAGGUUCUGUAGACAUUCCAAACAAAUGUGGUAAAGAAGAGUAAUAGAAUAAUCCUUCCUAGAAAAUAUAUGGUAAAGUCUAUAAUGUAACAGUUCAAAUAUCUACUGUAAAUAUUAAAAUCAUAAUACUGUCUUUAGAGAAAAGGCUGAUGCUAGGGCUGGGAUACAGAAAGUACAAGAUAAACCAAGAAUAUUUUUCUUUUUUGGGGGCAGGGUCUCAUUCUGUCAUCCAUGCUGGAGUGCAGUGGCACAAGCAUGGCUCACUGCAUCCUGGAUUUACUCAAGCGAUCCUCCUGCCACAGCCUCUCCCAAGAAGCUAGGACUACAGGUAUGUGCCACCAUGCCCAGCUAAUUUUUAAAUUUUUCACAGAGACAAGAUCCCACUCUGUUGUCCAUAGUGGGUACAGUUUGUGCAACCAUGAUUUGGUCUCAAACUAGGCCCAAAUGAUCCUCCUGCCUUGGCCUGCCAAAGUGCUGGGAUUACAGGCGUGAACCACUGCACCUGGCCAAGAAUAACUUACUGUAUCUGGAAGUGAGGAAGUGAUUCAAGAAUGAUGAGGACAUGUCAUAAAGAUACAGGAGCCAUACAAAAGGGGCUCCUAUUGGCCAGAUUGGAACAAUGUGAGCUUCAAAACAACAACUUUAACUGAUUAUUUUUUAAAAGUUAAAGUACAAACAAACAAAAAACUCUAAUUAUUUUUGUUUGUAGUAUUUAAUUCAUGGUAUCCCAAUUUAAAUAAUAUCCUUGCAAACACCAACAUGUUUUUGCCAAUAUUAAGGUAAUGUUAAAGAAACAGACAUCAAACUUCAUAAUUAUAAAUUCUCUGCAAAACCCAUAUUCCAACUAUGGAACAUUCAACUAAAGGUAAAUUUAUGUUUCUAUACAGUUUUACCAAAGUUGUUUAAAAAAUAGCAUUUUUUAAGGUGGAAAUUUUGACAUUGUACUUCUUUUAUCACUCAUAAAAUGUCAUAACAACUUCCUCAUAUAACUUGCCUGGAGUCCACUCGAGAGCAGCAUUCCAUGUAAGGCCUCCAAUUGGGCAUUGUAAAGUAAAGCUUUCAGAUCAGCUCCAGUAAAGGAGUCAGUUACUGAUGCUACAUGCUGAAGGUCAACAUCAUCUGCCAGAGGUAGAGAGUCACUGAGGACAUUUAAAAUUUCAAGACGUGACACCUGAAAGGAGAAAAAUUUAUUUAACAAAUAAAAAAUAAAAUUAAAAAUAUUAUCUUAAAUUGUGUAUCUUAUGAUUUUCUUCAUAAAUUAACCUUAUAUAUCUAAAAAGCUUUAUAAGUAAGUUGAGAAAUGUACCAACAGCCUACUAUUUAUCUUCCUUGGAAUUUUUUCCCCAACAGAAAUAAUAUAUAUAGGAAAAUGAAUGAAAAUCAAACACUCUUAAGGCUGGGCAUGGUGGCUCACGCCUGUAAUCCCAACACUUUGGGAGGUUGAGGUGGGAGGAUCACUUGAGCCCUGGAGUUCAAGAAAGCCUGGGCAACACAGGGAGACCCCAUCUCUAUACAAAAAUUAAUAAUAAAAUUAUCUGGGCAUGGUAGCGUGUGCCUGUGGUCCCAGCUACUCGGGAGGCUGAGGUGGGGAGAUUGCUUGAGCCUGGGCCAUAGAGGCUGCAGUGAGUUGUGAUCGUACCAGUGUACUCCAGCCUGGGUGACAAAGUGAGACCUUGUCUGAAAAACAAAAACCCAAAAACCUACAAAAUAUUCAGUGUAAAUAAUUUCUUAUUCACACAGUGCUUAUUUUCUAGAUUUAGGCAAGUGUGCCAAGAAGGUAUUUCAAAAGGAAAAUCUAAAUAAUUUAAAUAAUAGCUACAUGUAACAUAUAUACAGAUACUUUAUACCUUUGACUAUUCAUUUGUCUAUCUGUUCUUUCAUUCAUUUAUUUGUUUGCUUCUAAAUUGGAGAAUAAGAGUUGGAACAACACAGGACAAGGAAGAGUUGAAAAAUUAUCUCUAUGAAACCUGCUUACAUGCUUACGAUUCACAUGCUUGAUUCUGUAUCAGAGUUUUUUUUUUGACAGGAUAAUGGAAGUAUGUAAUCUUUGAACAGAAGAUAAUGUGAAAAUAUAAUACAUUAGGUUUCUUGCAUUUUUUUUUCCCCAAUCAGCCAACACAGAAGGAUUACAAAGUUUUCAGACUUGCACUGGGCCAAAAAAAGGCUUUGCAUCUAAUUCAGAAUCUUUUUAUGCUUUGAGCAAACAGUGGCUAAAGCUUUUCCCUAAGAAAGCUGGUCUUCUAAGGACAAUUGCCAUUACCUGGCAGAAGUAAAGCUCACAAGGAAAGAGUGUAGCAUUUGUUGGGUUUUGGACUCUAAAUAUGAAAUUGUCACCUGAUCAGGAGGAGGACAGUAUACACAUUUAUCUAGUCGACCAGGCCUAAGCAGGGCAGGGUCAAUCAAGUCAGGGCGACUAGUAGCAGCCAAUACAUAAACACCUAGAGGAAAAAAGAACAUUUUUUUACCAAAAUCUGAUGACAUGAUGACAUUUUGUUAUAACAUUCUAUUUCUGUAUUUAUAAUUAUUACCCUGUAAGCCUUCUACUCCAUCCAACUGAGUCAGCAACUGGUUAACUACUCGGUCUGUAACUCCUGUAUUAUCAUGACCCCGCCGAGGAGCAAUGGAUUCAAAUUCAUCAAAGAAAAGAAUGCAGGGCUUUGCAGCCUGUGCUCUGGGAAAAACAAACAACAUUUCAUAUUUGAAUCAGGCUUCAUAGUUGGCAAAGUGAUUUCAUAUACAUAUAUGAAUGUAUUUAUUUUAUGUAUUUAUAUAUAUUUAUAUACUUCUUUUAAUUUUUACAACAAACCCUUAAAGAAGGCAAGUUGUAUGUAAUUACAUAUAAAUACAUAUAAAUGUAUUUAUAUAUAUUUAUGUAUUUAUUUUAAUCUUUACAACAAACCCUUAAAGAAGGCAAGGCAUAUGAAAUUACCCUUGUAUUCAGUAAACUGUUGAGGUCAAGGUGUUUAUUAAGACCCAUGCCUUCUGGAUAGACUAACAGGGAUCAAAACAAAAACUGACUCUUAGUCAAUAAGUCAAACACUUUUGAUUCCUAUUACAAGUAACCAUUUUUAUAUUAAUAUAUACUUAUUGGCCACCCUUCCUUCUUUUGUGAAAUGCCUAUUCAUUUAUUUUGCCCAUUCAAAAUUUGGAAAGCUCAUUAUGUUGGUACUGUUUUGUAAGGGCUCUCUAUAAAAUAUAUUUUAUUUCUUUUACUUUUUUAAUAAUUUGAACUUUGACUUUGUUUUAUUAAUUUAUUAACAAAUUUUAAUUCAAAAUAAGUGAAUAUUAAUUCCAUAUCUGGCAACAGGUGGACUAGAUGUCUGGCGAAUAACACCUAAUAUAAAACACCUGUCACGGUGAUUGAAAAAAAUCAACAGCUAUCUCAUUAAAUGCAUGGCAAGUAAAAUAUAUCUUCUGGGGCCAAAAAUAGACCAGAAUUAUCUGCUACUUGAAUGUUUGGCAAAACUCUCCUAGAAAACUGAGUCUGAUGUUUGAUUUGUGUAAAGACUUCUUUAACUUUUCUAACUCAAUUUUUACUAAGUUACAGGACUACUCAGAUUUUGUUUCUUUUUUGCUCAAUUUUGGUCAAUUUUGUUUUUGUCUAUGUCACCUAAGUUUUCAAAUGUAUUGGCAUGAAUAUUUUCAUAAUAUUCCCUUAUUAUCUUUUACAUUUCUGGGAUAUCUUUAGCGAUGUUUCCCUUUUUAUCCCUAAAAUUGUUUAUUCAUGCUUUCUUUUUUCUUAAUCAAACUUGUUAGAGAUUUGUCAAUUGUACUCGGUGUUCAAAAAAUAAAUCUUGGCUUUGUGAGCUUC